rnacentral:rRNA from 1 species
GACGAACGCUGGCGGCGUGCUUAACACAUGCAAGUCGAACGGUAAGGCCCUUCAGGGUACACGAGUGGCGAACGGGUGAAUAACACGUGGGUGAUCUGCCCUGCACUUCGGGAUAAGCCUGGGAAACUGGGUCUAAUACCGGAUAGGACCACUGCCUGCAUGGGUGGUGGUGGAAAGCUUUUGCGGUGUGGGAUGGGCCCGCGGCCUAUCAGCUUGUUGGUGGGGUGAUGGCCUACCAAGGCGACGACGGGUAGCCGGCCUGAGUGGGUGGCCGGCCACGCUGGGACUGGGAUACGGCCCAGACACAUACGGGAGGCAGCAGUGGGGAAUAUUGCUCAAUGGGCGCAAGCCUGAUGCAGCGACGCCGCGUGAGGGAUGACGGCCUUCGGGUUGUAAACCUCUUUCAGCACCGACGAAGGGCAAGUGACGGUAGGUGCAGAAGAAGGACCGGCCAACUACGUGCCAGCCGCCGCCGUAA